ACGUCAUUUUCUCCAAAGGACAAAGCCACAGAGUCUUUUCUCCAUGCCGCUUUCCUACUCCCUCUCCCUGCUGAUCUCGCGGCGACCGUCUUGGCUCCUCCUAGCCCCCAGUGUCGACCGCCCCUGCUCCUCUCCAUCCAUGGCUGUGCUCGGCCUCCACCUCAAGCCGUGCCCUAGGAUCGUCUUCCAGCACCCCCUUCACACCCUUGCCUCCAGCUCGCCAGCACCCUCCGUUCGGCCGGCCAUGGCCACCUCGCCGAGGCCCCAGCCACGACGUCAUCCCCCGCUAGCUAUCGAAGUCGUGCCUCGCAUACCGCCUAUUCGAUGAAAUGCCCAAACCUGUGGACUGUCGACACCACAUCUGCUCCCUCUCCUAACACCCUGUCGCAAUUUCGUGUGUUGCCGGUGAGACAUCGGUUUUCUUCUAUUCAAUUAGUUCUUUGCUUGGUGUCAAUGGUUAACUGCGGUUUAUGUUUGUGUACUGGUGUGUGGUUUGGAGGAGAGGAAUCCCAUAUGUGUGAGGACAGGCAAUCCGUGCAAUAGUUGUUUGAUGUUUGGGGUUAUGCAAAUCGGAAAUCGUCAUCAUUAUCCCAAAUAUUGAUUUGGUUUAUGAUAUGGUACGUUAAUUGAUCACAUGCUAUGGAAGACGAGUGGAAUUGAUCUCCAAGUGAUGCUGAUGGACGAAGCUAAAAUGGAUGAAUCAACCAAGUGCCAGGAUAGAAGAUGCUCACCAAGUGGUCGUCAAUUAACAACACUAACUUAGUGUUAUCCCAG